rnacentral:rRNA from 1 species
GGUGUUCCUUCCUAUAUCUACGCAUUUCACCGCUACACAGGAAAUUCCACCACCCUCUACCGUACUCUAGCUCAGUAGUUUUGGAUGCAGUUCCCAGGUUGAGUCCGGGGAUUUCACAUCCAACUUGCUGAACCACCUACGCGCGCUUUACGCCCAGUAAUUCCGAUUAACGCUUGCACCCUUCGUAUUACCGCGGCUGCUGGCACGAAGUUAGCCGGCGCUUAUUCUGUUGGUAACGUCAAAACAGCAAGGUAUUAACUUACUGCCCUUCCUCCCAACUUAAAGUGCUUUACAAUCCGAAGACCUUCUUCACACACGCGGCAUGGCUGGAUCAGGCUUUCGCCCAUUGUCCAAUAUUCCCCACUGCUGCCUCCCGUAGGAGUCUGGACCGUGUCUCAGUUCCAGUGUGACUGAUCAUCCUCUCAGACCAGUUACGGAUCGUCGCCUUGGUAGGCCUUUACCCCACCAACUAGCUAAUCCGACCUAGGCUCAUCUGAUAGCG